CCACUAUUUUUAUUCUGGGGUGUGCAUUUUUCACACCCCCGAGUGACCUAGUUACACCGAAGUAAGUAUGUAGCGUAUACCAAGC